UACGAAGGGGGCUAGCGUUGCUCGGAAUCACUGGGCGUAAAGGGUGCGUAGGUGGCCAGGUAAGUUCGGUGUGAAAGCUCGGAGCUUAACUCCGAAAUGUCAUUGAAUACUAUCUGGCUGGAGGGUCGGAGGGGAGACUGGAAUUCUCGGUGUAGGCAGUGAAAUGCGUAGAUAUCGAGAGGAACACCAGUGGCGAAGGCGAGUCUCUGGACGACUCCUGACACUGAGGCACGAAAGCCAAGGGGAGCAAACCAGG
rnacentral:rRNA from 1 species